rnacentral:lncRNA from 1 species
UGAGCCUCAGAAACACAGGAACAGACCUGAGGCAGAGCUGCCCCAGCAAACACGUAGACCUAAAAACCCCAGCUGGUAGGCACUGUUUCUCAUCUUCACUUUACUGAUGGGGCAAUGUGGUUUUGAGGCAGUAACUUUCAGAGGAGCCUGCACCCAAACCUCACCACCUGAUGCCAGUCUUCAUGCCGAAUCACCAUGUUCUUACCGCCUUCUGACUGAGCCUAGUUUAGCUUCCCCUCGUUUUCUAGGUCCCUUUAUCCUUUGAAGUCUGGCAGCUUUCUCUGGUGCUCCAUCCAUUCAGAUCACCACUGGAGGGCCCACAUUUGUUGUGAGUUAGAUGACAGCUGGGUUUGUAUUUUCUUCGGAUGGAGCGUGGCCUGGAU